GAGGGAGGUAGAGAGCUGGGCAGCAUGGUCAAUAUCGACUUUAGUCUUUCUAUCUUUUUUCAGAAGAGACGUCGUCGACUAGCUCUGAUCGAUCAGAUGUCGGUUUCUCUCAACCAGACCCCAGCGAUAUUGGAAGUUGUUCUCCACGGGCGGGUCUCAGCGACGAAGCCAGUCAAAACCAAAGGACUAUCUCCGAAGAAGGCGGGUCUGGUAGGCUCAGCCAUUGGCCCUCCUCUUCAGCGAUCGGUAGUGGACGAAAACGAAAACAAGCGAAUACAGGAACAAACGACACCUGCAGGAAAAAGCAAGCCCGUCG